rnacentral:rRNA from 1 species
UGGUGCAUGGUUGUCGUCAGCUCGUGUCGUGAGAUGUUGGUUAAGUCCCGCAACGAGCGCAACCCUCGACCUUAGUUGCCAGCAUUCAGUUGGGCACUCUAAGGUGACUGCCGGCUAAAAGUCGGAGGAAGGUGGGGAUGACGUCAAAUCAUCAUGCCCCUUAUGACCUGGGCUACACACGUGCUACAAUGGGCGGUACAAAGGGUCGCGAACCCGCGAGGGGGAGCCAAUCCCAAAAAGCCGCUCUCAGUUCGGAUUGCAGGCUGCAACUCGCCUGCAUGAAGCCGGAAUCGCUAGUAAUCGCGGAUCAGCAUGCCGCGGUGAAUACGUUCCCGGGCCUU